CCGCCCUCCGUCCGGGGGGUGGCCAGCGCCCGCCAGAGGACCAUCAAACUCCGGUCAGUGAACGUUGCCGUCUGAAAAACAAUCAAUAAACUAAAACUUUCAACAACGGAUCUCUUGGUUCUGGCAUCGAUGAAGAACGCAGCGAAAUGCGAUAAGUAAUGUGAAUUGCAGAAUUCAGUGAAUCAUCGAAUCUUUGAACGCACAUUGCGCCCCUCGGUAUUCCGAGGGGCAUGCCUGUUCGAGCGUCAUUACAACCCUCAAGCUCUGCUUGGUGUUGGGCACCGCCCUUCCGCGGGCGCGCCUCAAAGACCUCGGCGGUGGCGUCUUGCCUCGAGCGUAGUAGAAAACACCUCGCUUUGGAGCGCACGGCGCCGCCCGCCGGACGAACCUUUUGAACUUUCUCAAGGUUGACCUCGGAUCAGGUAGG
rnacentral:rRNA from 1 species